UGGCGUUAGUCUGCGCACAACGCGUGUCGUGCUCUUCCGCUUUUGAACCUCCGCGUGCUCGUUCACUUAGUCUCUUUGUGAUUUUCUUACGCGUUCGUUGUCUUUUUCCGCCUCGCUCUUGUGUCACGGGAAUGAAAGCGUCGCACGCGUUGCUCCGCGAAGUCUUUAAGCGAGCACAGUAAAACGACACCGACGAUAUAUAGAGAUAUCGAUCGAUAUGGAUCAAUCGAUAUCGCACGUCGGAGAAAAAAUUGCAAGUGUGAACACCGUUCACGUGACACGUAAUAUAAUUAUACUAUUGUUCACGGAACAGUGAGAAACUUGUGCGAAAAAAAAA